AAUAGAUACCCGGGUAGUCCACGCCCUAAACUAUGUCAACUAGUUGUCGGGGAAGAAAUUCCUUGGUAACGCAGCUAACGCGUGAAGUUGACCGCCUGGGGAGUACGGCCGCAAGGUUAAACUCAAAGGAAUUGACGGGGACCCGCACAAGCGGUGGAUUAUGUGGAUUAAUUCGAUGCAACGCGAAAACCUUACCUACCCUUGACAUGUACGGAAUUCCGCAGAAAUGUGGAAGUGCCCGGAAGGGAACCGUAACACAGGUUGCUGCAUGGCUGUCGUCAGCUCGUGUCGUGAGAUGUUGGGUUAAGUCCCGCAACGAGCGCAACCCUUGCCAUUAGUUGCUACAUUCAGUUGGGCACUCUAAUGAGACCGCCGGUGACAAACCGGAGGAAGGUGGGGAUGACGUCAAGGUCCUCAUGGCCCUUAUGGGUAGGGCUUCACACGUAAUCAAUGGUCGGUACAGAGGGCUGCCAACCCGGCAAGGGGGGAGCUAAGUCCCAGAAAGCCGAUCGUAGUCCGGAUUGUAGUCUGCAACUCGACUGCAUGAGCGG
rnacentral:rRNA from 1 species